rnacentral:lncRNA from 1 species
AGACCGGAAACGGAGGAGAGCGCGGGGGAUGUGUUUGGCAUGGGGACGCACUGUUACAGUUGCGCUCCUGGUUGGCUUUGUGUUUCCGCGGUGUUGGUAGAGUCUCGGUGUUUCUACCUCUUAGCACCCUUUCCUGCCACCCUUUGUCCUGUGGAAGCCCGGAGACAUCAGCGGCUGCAAUUUUGCUACUCGCUGCUCGGCAUGGAACGGUCAGGACAAAAAAUAAUAUCCAAAGAUAUUUUGGCACUAACAGCGCUAUCUGUAGCAAGAAAGUUGAGCAGUGUGAACUGUUGAGACUUCCAAGAAGACUUCAGAGAACCAAGACAGUGUAAAGGAAAACAGGAAAAAAGACUUGUUAGACAUUAUUAAGGGCACGAAAGUUGAAUUGAGCACAGUAAAUGUACAAACAACAAAGCCACCCAACAGAAGUCCACUUAAAAGCUACAACUGGCCCGCCUCAAAGAGCUACAGAGCAUGCUCCAAAGAAGAGAAAUGAGCCCGUGAGUCCUGAGUUGGUGGCAGCUGCAUCUGCUGCUCUGUUUUGACAAGCAAACAAGCCAGAACUGCUCAGGCAGCUCCGUAGCAUGAGGAAGAGUCAGGGGCACAGAGAGAUGGAGAGAGACCUAGUUAGAGAGCGAACCAUGUGCUGGAUUUAGCCAGUCCUGCAUUUUUCUAUACUUCAAAUCAAAACGGGCCAUGCUUCACAUCUACCCAUGAUGAAUAGGGGUACUUUGAUUAAGAAUAAAUAGAGCUGACUGAAUUCUGAACAAGAAAAACAUAUUCAAGGGGAAGAGAUGUAAUAGUUUUGACGUGACGACAGUUACUAAAGAAGCACCUGAACAGACACAUCACCUUCACUUUGGGAUGUGGAAUUUGCUAAAUAAGCCACAGAAAAUGAACAUCCCUUCAGAAUGGGUUUGAAGAGCUGAUCCAGUGGAUUAAAGAGGGGAAACUGGGAGUUUCCAAUUAACAAUGAAGCAGGAGCUGACUAAGGCUUUGGAACAGAAACCAGAUGAUGCACAAUAUUAUUGUCAAAGAGCUUAUUGUCACAUUCUUCUUGGGAGUUACUAUGGAUCUGUAAAUAACUGACGAAAAACCCAUCUGUUUCUACGUAGUUGCUGUUGCCGACACAAAGAAGUCUUAUGAACUCAAUCCAAAUAAUUCCACUGCUAUGCUGAGAAAAGGGGGCUGGCGGCAUGGAGUCUUGCUCUGUCACCCAUCCUCGAGUGCAAUGGCACCAUCUUAGUUCACUGCAGCCUUGAAUUCCAGGGCUCGAGCCAUCCUUCUGCCUCUGCCUCCUGAGUAGGUGGGACUACAGGCAUGUGCCACCAUACUGAGCUAAUUUGUUAAACACUUUUUUUGUAGAGACGAGGUCUUGCUACGUUUCCCAGACUGGUCUCUGAACUCCCGGCCUCAAGUGAUCCUACUGCCUUGGCCUCCCAAAGUACUGGCAUAAUAGACAUGAGCCACUGCACCUGGCUCCUAAGUUCUUUUCUUGAAUAAUAUCUUUCUUUUUUUUUAUUUUUUGAGGUGGAGUCUCACCCUGUUGCCCAGGCUGGAGUGCAAUGGCGUGAUCUCGGCUCACUGCAACUUCUACCUCCCGGGUUCAAGUGAUUCUCCUGCCUCAGCCUCCUGAAUAGCUAGGAUUACAGGCGUGCGCUACCACGCCUGGCUAAUUUUUUGUGUCUUUAGUAGAGAUGCGGUUUCACCAUGUUGGCCAGGCUUGUCUCGAACUCUUGACCUCGUGAUCCACCCGCCUUGGCCUCCCAAAGUGUUGGGAUUACAGGCGUGAGCCACCACGCCUGGCCAAGUAAUAUCUUAAUAUCAUGCCAUUGACAUUUAUCCUCUAAUUAUUUCAGAGGUGGCCUUCAGAAGAAGGCCUCUUUGGUAAAAUUGCUAUUGAGGAUAUUUCACUGAAAAACAAAUUUAUCUUUAAAUUUAAAUCCAGGAAAAAUUUAAACUUUCAGGCUUCUAUUUUUAUCAGACAGGGUAAAAAAUUUAUAACUCAGAAUAUUACCCUUUCCCCUCUUUGUGUGAUGGAUUGCUUGGUUUUAGUUACUGAUUAUUUAAAAUAAUAAGUUAUUCAAAUCUAGGAUUUUGAUACAAUAGUUCUUCUCUAGAAUAUAGUGUGUGUGUGAGAGUAUAUUUAAAAUUUUUAUUAAGGCCCAUGGGGCAGCCUUUGAGGAAACCAGACCUUGGGGAUCGCCAGGCAGGAUUAGUGGCAGGAAUUGAGAGAACAGAGCCCCACAGAGCUCCUCGGGGACCGUCCCCCAGUCACAAGAGUAUCUCAAGGAAGUAGUCUUCUCCCACAUCCCCCAAAGAUAACUACCAGAGGGUCAGUUCUCUGAGCCCUUCUCAGUGUAGAAAAGACAAGUGUCAAAGCUUCCCCACUCACCCUGAGUUUGCCUUCUAUGACAAUACGUCGUUUGGCCUCACUGAGGCUGAGCAGAGGAUGCUGGACCUCCCAGGAUAUUUUGGGUCAAAUGAAGAGGAUGAAACCACAAGUACACUUAGCGUGGAGAAGCUGGUGAUCUAGACUGAGAAUCAGCCUGAGCUUAACACAGCUGGGGUCUGCUACUCGCGUUUUGUAGACUUUUGUGUAACUAUUUGUACCGUAGGACAGAAUGUGAGGAGGAAGUAACACACACAGAGGAGGAUGUGUGUGUGUGCAUGUGUUUGAAUUCACAAGGAAGAAAUUAUUUAUCUUGAGCUUUUUCCUUUGUUAUUCAGUUUUUAUUGGUUUAUUACUAAUAAUGAUAAUAAAAUGUAAACAAGAGCAA